rnacentral:rRNA from 1 species
GAUAACGCUGGCGGCGUGCAUGAGACAUGCAAGUCGAACGGACGAUCAGGGCUUGCUCUGAUCGUUAGUGGCGGACGCUGAGUAACGCGUAGGUGACCUGCCCCGAAGUGGGAGUAACUGCCGAAGGGUGGCUAAUACGCAUGUGGUGGUGCGUUCAUUUCGCACCAGUAAAGCCGCAAGGCGGCUUCGGGAGGGGCCUGCGUCCGAUUAGCUCGUUGGUGGGGAACGGCUCACCAAGGCGACGAUCGGUAGGUGGUCUGAGAGGACGAUCACCCAGACUGGGACUGAGACACGGCCCAGACUCCUACGGGAGGCAGCA